rnacentral:lncRNA from 1 species
CUUCCCUUGACCUUUCAAGACUGGAGUGAGCUGGCCUAGUUUCUGUGGCUAAUUGUGCAAUAUGACAGCUGGGUCAUGUGGCACAGCACACACGUGGUCCUGUGCUGAGACCCAGCAGCAUCCCAUAGGCUGGACCCCCUUGAUGGCAAGGACAAUAAGGCAGGCUCUGAACCCUUUCCUCACAGGUCACCUGACAGGUGGAGCAGAUGAGAGAUCUAACCUCGAAAUUCCAGAAGGAAAAAGAAGGGAUGAAAAAGAAAAUGUCACAUUCCAUGUCUUUCUCAUACUAACCAGAAGCAGAGUUUUAAAAGCAAUCUCCACUCUCCUUUGA